AUUUGGAUGACUGACAAAAGUUUUGAGCUUUUGACUCAACCAUGAAAACUAAUAUUUUCUCCAAAUA
rnacentral:tRNA from 1 species